UACGUAGGGGGCAAGCGUUGUCCGGAUUUAUUGGGCGUAAAGAGCGUGUAGGCGGUCAGGUAGGUCCGUUGUGAAAACUCGAGGCUCAACCUCGAGACGCCGAUGGAAACCAUCUGACUAGAGUCCGGAAGAGGAGAGUGGAAUUCCUGGUGUAGCGGUGGAAUGCGCAGAUAUCAGGAGGAACACCAAUAGCGAAGGCAGCUCGCUGGGACGGUACUGACGCUGAGGCGCGAAAGCGUGGGGAGCGAACAGG
rnacentral:rRNA from 1 species